UAGAAGUUUAUCACCCAUUACUUCUAGUGUUGUUCCCUGCUGUUUUUAAGUGUUUUUGACAUGAAAAUCGAAAAAUCUCAUAAAAAUUUGAAAAAUUGUUUUGAAAAACCCAAAAAGAGUUGUUUUUGUGUGUUUAUUUGUGUCUUAGGGUACCUUCCAACACAAUGAUGAGGAUUUGGUUUUUAAUUACAUGACUGUUAAAGAGAGUUAUAAACAUGGAUAAAAAUUUAAUUUACUCUUUGGUGUAUGCAUGGUUGUGGUUAUAAUUUAGGAAUUCACAUGCAAUCAUAAAGGAAAAAUCAGUUUUUGUAACAUGCUUGAAGAAAGGAACUCAAAUGAACGCUACAACCUUGCGAGACUUGAGCCUAAACGUUUAUUUGGAGAGUUAAUAAUCUGUGCAUCAUUGUUUUCUAAAGUCGUUGCAUGAUCUCAUUAUUCUUUGAUUGGUUGCUACUUAGAAGGCGUUUCAUCAUUUAGUUCCAAAUGCUAGAACUCAUGCCUAUUUCAUUCAAAGCAUGCUAUUGAUUUGCAUAACACAUAUUCAAGAUGAAGUUGUGUAGUGAUCACCAAAGCCAAAUUGCCGUGCCCUUAUUUCAUUAUGUGUUUAAGUUUAACCCCGUUAAGCCUUGUUAAGCCUAUGUUCUUUGUUAACCCACACUAUCCUUACCUAGCCUAGUUUUAGGACCAUCCAUACCCUUAUUCUUGAAGCAUAGUAAAGCGUGACUUAAAAUGAACUCCUUUUUUACCAAUGUAUUGCAGAAAGCAAGUGUGGGGGAAGUGAUUCUUGUGUGUGUGUGUGUGUGUGUGUGUGUGUGUGUGUGUGCCAAAGUCCUUAAUAAGGCAUGGGUACAAAAGAAAAAAAAAAGUUAUGAAAAAGAGCUCUAAAGUGUUGUUUGUUAAAGAAAGGGUUCAAAGCAUCGAAUUCUUCCCUAAGUGUUGCAUGAAUCUUCCCGUUGUAUUUAAAAGUUGAUUCUGCAUUCUAAAGUGAUUUCCAAGUGUCUAUUUCAUUGCUUUGCUUGCUAUUGCUUUAAGAACGUUUGUUAUUCCAAUCCUUUCUUUGUUAGCCAUUACCCCCAAGCCCUGUUACAACCCUUGACUUCAAUCUUGAGUGUUGUGUGCUUUAAUUUGUGGAGUUCGAAAUUGGUAUGAGCAUAUGGUGUCACUGGUUCUAGCAUCUAAGUAGUAGCAUACCAUUCAUGAGAUCAUAUCUAAAUAUGCUUAAUAACUCCAGAAAAUUGCUUCCUUCGUUAUAACAUUUGUGAGUCCCAGUCUCUAGUGUAGGGUGUGUAGUCAGAAAAUAUGUGUGAAAAUAGAGAGUAUCUUGUGAGGAAUUGAGCAAAAUCUCUAAGGCAUGUUACUACAUUCAAAACAUUGUUUUAAUUGGUUAAUUGUGAACUAGUAAGUAGUGACUAUGAUUAAGUUUGUGCUCAAGUGUGAAGAUAACCAAAAUCUGUGGGAAUGAUGAUUUUUAACAUGUCAUGUGCAUUGGAAAUCCCUGAGGCAAAUGUUGGAAGGUUAGGUUGUGUUUUGUUUAUUUUAUUUCGUUUUGUUUGUUUUGUUUUGCUCGAGGACUAGCAAAAGCUAAGUGUGGGGGAAUUUGAUAGGAGCAUAUUUAUGCAACUUAGUUAGCUUGUUUCGUGGCAUUUACUUAGUUUAAUUCUAGUUAUUUUAGU
rnacentral:lncRNA from 1 species